ensembl:snoRNA
AGGCUGUGUGUGAUGACAGCAUAGUUCAGCAGAUGACCCAUGGUGAUCACGCUGUUACUGUCUUUCGCUCCUAUCUGAUGCAGCCU